rnacentral:misc_RNA from 1 species
GGAACUUAAAGGCAUCACAGACGUCUUGAAUUUUGAACUCGUAGAAAGCCUUUAGAAGUUGUUCUUCUUCAACCUUGAGUGGUUUAGGACGCUUUUCAGCAUUAUCUUUGGCGUCAUUUUGGCUUUCAGCAUAUGAGAACGACCCAUCAAUAUCAACUUCCAUUCGCGUUGUUCCAUACUUCUCCAGUGCUUGUUUCGCUCUGUGAUUAGCAACUUUAUACUUAUGUUUAAUAUCUUGGGGAGUAAAAAUCCACUUGGUUCUAUGAGUAGAUGUCACAAAAUCAGCCAUGUCUUCUCUCUGCCAAUUCUAAUUUUCGUUUGGAUGCGAUUCCUUUUAAACUAUGCCAUGCCCCGCAGAUUUUUCGCCGGUGAAACGAUCGCCGGAGAGACCAGCAGAGGGUUA